rnacentral:rRNA from 1 species
GAUGAACGCUGGCGGCGUGCCUAAUACAUGCAAGUCGAGCGAACGGACGAGAAGCUUGCUUCUCUGAUGUUAGCGGCGGACGGGUGAGUAACACGUGGAUAACCUACCUAUAAGACUGGGAUAACUUCGGGAAACCGGAGCUAAUACCGGAUAAUAUUUUGAACCGCAUGGUUCAAAAGUGAAAGACGGUCUUGCUGUCACUUAUAGAUGGAUCCGCGCUGCAUUAGCUAGUUGGUAAGGUAACGGCUUACCAAGGCAACGAUGCAUAGCCGACCUGAGAGGGUGAUCGGCCACACUGGAACUGAGACACGGUCCAGACUCCUACGGGAGGCAGCAGUAGGGAAUCUUCCGCAAUGGGCGAAAGCCUGACGGAGCAACGCCGCGUGAGUGAUGAAGGUCUUCGGAUCGUANAACUCUGUUAUUAGGGAAGAACAUAUGUGUAAGUAACUGUGCACAUCUUGACGGUACCUAAUCAGAAAGCCACGGCUAACUACGUGCCAGCAGCCGCGGUAAUACGUAGGUGGGCAGCGUUAUCCGGAAAUUAUGGGCGUAAAGCGCGCGUAGGCGGUUUUUUAGUCUGAUGUGAAAGCCCACGGCUCAACCGUGGAGGGUCAUUGGAAACUGGAAAACUUGAGUGCAGAAGAGGAAAGUGGAAUUCCAUGUGUAGCGGUGAAAUGCGCAGAGAUAUGGAGGAACACCAGUGGCGAAGGCGACUUUCUGGUCUGUAACUGACGCUGAUGUGCGAAAGCGUGGGGAUCAAACAGGAUUAGAUACCCUGGUAGUCCACGCCGUAAACGAUGAGUGCUAAGUGUUAGGGGGUUUCCGCCCCUUAGUGCUGCAGCUAACGCAUUAAGCACUCCGCCUGGGGAGUACGACCGCAAGGUUGAAACUCAAAGGAAUUGACGGGGACCCGCACAAGCGGUGGAGCAUGUGGUUUAAUUCGAAGCAACGCGAAGAACCUUACCAAAUCUUGACAUCCUUUGACAACUCUAGAGAUAGAGCCUUCCCCUUCGGGGGACAAAGUGACAGGUGGUGCAUGGUUGUCGUCAGCUCGUGUCGUGAGAUGUUGGGUUAAGUCCCGCAACGAGCGCAACCCUUAAGCUUAGUUGCCAUCAUUAAGUUGGGCACUCUAAGUUGACUGCCGGUGACAAACCGGAGGAAGGUGGGGAUGACGUCAAAUCAUCAUGCCCCUUAUGAUUUGGGCUACACACGUGCUACAAUGGACAAUACAAAGGGCAGCGAAACCGCGAGGUCAAGCAAAUCCCAUAAAGUUGUUCUCAGUUCGGAUUGUAGUCUGCAACCCGACUACAUGAAGCUGGAAUCGCUAGUAAUCGUAGAUCAGCAUGCUACGGUGAAUACGUUCCCGGGUCU